GUGCAUAUUCACAGACUGCAAGGUUCAUUUCCAGAGCAUGGAGCACUCGUGGGAUGACUAAGGCACACUGAGGGAGAAAUAUUCAUUCAUUAGUUGCUGUUUGUAAUCCAAGUCGUGUUUAUUUGUUUGUGAUGAUUUUGGUCAUAGAAACAGUAAAACAGAGGCUCUGCUACCAUUCCUUUCUUAAAUCUGUAUUUAAAACCUAUGUAUAUCUUCACAGAUGAGGAUGAAGCUCAGUUACAACUCAGCGCGUGAUCCACCUGAGGAACCCACCAUGACUCCCCUCCAUCACACCCCAUGGCAUUACACUGAGGAGCACAGGGCAGCCAAGGCCCAGAUCUCCAUUUCAAAACCUGUCCAAGACAUUAGCAAGCUCUGGCUGAAACUCUCAGCUACAAACAGUGCUGGCUAAACAUAAAUGCCGCGGCAGUAGAACGAGAGGAUCCUUCUUCAUCUCCCCUUUUGGGCCACUAACACAGCAUGGAGCCAGACUCUGUAGUCCUAAGAGUGGAAGAGUGGGACUGCCUGGAUAAGAGAGGGCUUCCAGCUUGCUCUCAGCACUCCAUUGCCCUUAUUGUAGAUACAUAACUACAUAUUUGCUUUUCAGGCUCACAUUUGCACACAUCAUAGUCUGAAUAUGCUUUUAAUCUUCCAGUUAUAUUAGAAUUUUUGUUUAAAAACUGCGCAUGACACCCCACUAGACAUAUUUAUAACAAGGAAGGGCACAGGUUUCAAUCAUGGGUGAAGGAGCAGCGUUCUUCAUCUGUCAAUCAGUCCACGCUCAAAAUACGCUGAGCAUCAAUUGCUUUUUAGGUUAUUUACUGUGUCUUAUGUAUCUGCCAAUAAAUCUAAAAUACAGGUCGAAGAAUAUGCAGUUCAAGUAUAUCCAUAAGUGUAGCAGAAAAGCUUUGCUAACUACCUCUGAUUGCCAAAGCUGAGGUCAUUUCCUUGUUGUGAAAAAUACUGAGGUCCAUAAAUUAUUUUUAUCACCUCUGGGGCAAUGCAAACAGUUUCCCACAGAUGCUGAAAGUAUGAUAUGUUUUUUGUUUAAUAUCAGAGCACUACUUUUACACAGCUCUUAAAAUAUGAGGACCGAGGUACUGCUCGUGUUUUAAGGCCCCAAUUCAGCAACAUAUUAAAACAGAUACCUCAGGACCUGACAUUAAACACGUGCCAAAGUGCUUUGUUGCAUAGUCACAGAUUGCUGAACUGGAGCCUAAAGGCUUCAUCUUUUCCCCAUGAAAUUCAGAAUUUACCUUCCAAUUUCUUACGGGGGAAACAAGGCAUUUAUUCAAACACAAUAUCAAUAAACAUUUGGAAACGUUUUAAAAGGCUUGUCUUCAGGAGAUCAGGAGUGAGCAAUAGCUCUGGAGGUAAACCCUGAUGGAGAUAAAAGCUGACGAAACGUUUUCUUGCAACAGCCUAACUGGUGUUUAUUUAAAGCUUUAGUUAGCAUUGCUUUCACAAGGAAAAUAAAAAUACAUUGAACACGUUGAGAACAUAAGUAUGAGUGGUGAACCUCCUACAGAGAACUUUGGAGAAAACACUGAAUUAACUUACAGUACAUUUGUUAAACAUGAGCAGCUCUAAUAAUGACAUUUCAUUUAACAAUGCCCUUUGUCUUUUCAGUUCAUCAGUUACCUAUUUCAGUAAUGAACUGCAGUCAUACCAUUCUGAUUUUCUCCUAAUGUAAAGGCUGAGAUCACUUCACUUGCAGUGGAGCAUGAUGCUAUUAUUCAGUUUGUGGCUUAGGAAAAAAGCUAUAGAAUAUAUCACAAGUGUAAUUGGCCAACAAAUAUUAAAGUCUGUGAUUGGUAAGGGCACCUAUAAUUUAAUUUAGGUUUUAAUAGGAACAAGUAAUUUUUUUUUUUUUUGUAAUUUUUUUUAAGAAAGAAAGAAAAAGAGAAGAAAAGAAGUGGUUGACACUGCCCAGGAUAUCUAUUUCGUAGGUGUUCAGCUGGGAAAAAAAAAAUGAGCCAUGUGUUAAACGUUAUUUUAAUUUUUUAUCAGCAGUCCAUGCAUAGAACAGCAACAUCUAGUCAGGAUUCAUAGUCUCAAAAUGGACUCACCUGCACUGUUUAAGGAGGAUUUUCUACAGGACUGGAGGAAGUCAGAUUAAGUGGGCAACAGCCCACCCUGUACUGUGUAAACAUGAGGCAGAUAAAAAUACCACAGGUCUACGUGGUCUCAUCCGUAAUUGUCACGAGGGGCAAUGGGGCCUACUUACACUCAUUUCCCUACCUCUCUUUUGGGGUUUCUUAAAUUUCAAAUGCUUUUUAUUGCCUUUCCAGCUGCAGGAGAGACAUUUGAAGCAGACUGCUAUUUUCACUGCCCGAUUUGCCGCGAUCCACUCAAAAUAUUUCCAGAGCUCCCCAGAAAUAUUUAAUUAGCAAAGGCUGAUGUUCAGCACUUCGUAAUCUUUCCCCAGCUGAACCAAAUCUGCACAAUUUACAAUAGAUCUCUGGAAAGCCGCUUUUUACCACAUGCUGCAUCUAUAGAUCUCUCUCAAUUACCCACAGUAAAUUUAGGCAUUGUACAAGAGCAAAUUUUACAGUCCAUGAAGAGAUGAAGUGAAAUCUAGAUGAAAUUCAUUGUGACAGAUUCUCAGUUAGUGCCCUGAUGUGUCUGUAUUACAGAAGAUAGACAUUCUAUUAGCAUGGAAGCUCCCAUAAUGGACUGUGAAUCAUUUCAGGUAAUAGAGAUGCCAACUGGAAUGACUGAAAAGCACUAUUGAAUUCCAUUAGAGCUCUUUGUUUUUAAAUCAGUCAUUUCUUUGAGAAUAUCCAACUAUAUACUUCUUGACCCUAGCUGAGAGUAAUAAUUGUGAACUAAUAUUACAAAACAUUAAUCUGAGUUACUGUUCAAUUAGUGCUUCUGCUAGAGGCUUAUUUUUAUGCUGCAGACGUGAAGCAGACCGGCUUGUAUUACAAAUAUGUAUUUGGACUCAAGCGAGUGCAGAAUGCAAUUUUCAGUUAUAUUUCUGUCUCCACUGUAUUCAGUCUCAUCUCAUUAGCUGUAAAAAGACUCGGGUAUUGGCUUUUCUUUUUCCGAAGUCAUCCUACCAGGAUAAAAUAACUAUAAUCAACAAAUCUAUAAAGAUAAACAUUUUUAUAAAGGACGCCACAAAUAGUCUUCUUUCAUUUAGGUGCUCGGUUAAUUAUGAGCAAAAUAACGAACACCAUAUCCUGCUAACCAAACAGCACCACCUUAUCUAUCAAUCACGUAUGAUUUAUCAGACUUGAUAAUUGCUUGGAUAAUUAACACAGAAUUUGGUUUACUUAGUGUGCUGAAACCUCAGAAAUGCCUGCAUAAUUGCCGUUUGCGUAGUAGAUGAAGUUAUGAAUAAUUCUUUUUCACAUAAAUAUGAAGGCUGGGUUGCAGGCAGUGCACAUUUCCUCACCCACCGCCAUUAAUGCAGAUAUCAUGUCAUACAAGUGGUACGGCAUUGUCACAUGCCUUCUGCUGGCUACACACACAUAGUUAAAGCAAUUAAAAUACGUAUUUAUAAAAAUAAGGCAAAAAAAAAUCUCUCCCUCUGUAAGUAAUGCGAGCUUCCUUCAUGAGGAAGUACAGAAGGAAGACUUGAAGGAAAAUUAGUCUACUCAGUACAGUGGCAACAGGAUCUGAAUCUCUGUAAUAUUCUCACAUAAAUCCUUUGGGAAGACUUUAAAAAGAGUAGGCUCUAUAUCUUCUGUCCACGAUCAUCUAUUUUCACAUCAGAAUGAGCAACAUUAUCCUUGUAUGCAGAGUAUCUGUGUCUACAGCUUGAAAAUGAGACUCUCCUUAAUGUUGUAAUGACAGGUGUAAGAUUAACUUUGUUAGGUGUCUAGCCACUCAUGCAAACUAAAUUAAAUUAAUGGAACAAAUUUCUCUCAUAAUUAAGAUAAAAAUUCAUGUCAGCUGUAACCUUGCUGUACACUAAUUAUAUACAAAUGAUUUAUCAUCUGCUUCGCCCAGAAUAUUAAUCCUCAACUCAUUGAUAACUGCAGCCAGUGUUAAGAGAUGAGAGUUGAUUAACUAUGACAGAUUGGGCAACCACAGCUCCAAGUGCCUGAACAACCAGUAAAACCAAUAAUAUUCAAACGGCAUUUCUUAUUUAAAAAUGCAUUCCCGUGGAAACUGAUGCAUGUUUAAUGAGGGAUAUGGAGAUUAUUUCCGCAAUGACUGAUAUUGGAGCAGUGGGAAGAACUAAUCGAUAACAAUUAAGCCCUUAGCCUGGUUAAGCUAUGGUUCUAUAAAGUGGGUUAUAUACACAUUAGUGAGAUACCGGUUCGGGCUCUGUUGCGUACAAUGUCUUCAUGCAAGACUCUUAUUUAUUUUUCCUACUGCAGAAAGUAUUGCGCCGUUUACGUGUUACACAAUCUCCAACAAAAAGAAGAUGAAAUGAUGCUGCCAACAGUCCUUUGAAAGCCCAAAUGGGAAUUCCAGUGAUAAUUAAGCUAUGGAAAAUGGUACCUUGUUAUGAAAAUGCUGUUCUACAAAAAAAAAAAAAAAAAGAGAGAGAGAGAGAAGAACCAACUCUUGAAGCAUCAUAUGUGAAAGAGGAUAAUCUUUCAUCUCCUGAAAUAUGACACAAUACUUCUAAUUUAAAUGACAAUUAUUAAAAUUAACUUGUGAAACCUUUAAGGAAAAGCUCUUACUUAGCUGGCAUAUUUUGGAGAAAAUCCUUGGUUAAUAAUGUAUCUUUUAAUGAAUUUAAAAAAAUGUAAAGUUGCAGACAUUAAAGAUUUACAGGUUUGGGCUUGGAUAUUUUUGGUACUAAUUCUAUCUCCUCAUGACAGCUCUCUUA
rnacentral:lncRNA from 1 species